GACGAACGCUGGCGGCGUGCCUAAUACAUGCCAGUUGAGCGAUGAAGAUUGGUGCUUGCACCAAUUUGAAGAGCAGCGAACGGGUGAGUAACGCGUGGGGAAUCUGCCUUUGAGCGGGGGACAACAUUUGGAAACGAAUGCUAAUACCGCAUAACAACUUUAAACAUAAGUUUUAAGUUUGAAAGAUGCAAUUGCAUCACUCAAAGAUGAUCCCGCGUUGUAUUAGCUAGUUGGUGAGGUAAAGGCUCACCAAGGCGAUGAUACAUAGCCGACCUGAGAGGGUGAUCGGCCACAUUGGGACUGAGACACGGCCCAAACUCCUACGGGAGGCAGCAGUAGGGAAUCUUCGGCAAUGGACGAAAGUCUGACCGAGCAACGCCGCGUGAGUGAAGAAGGGUUUCGGGUCGUAAAACUCUGUUGGUAGAGAAGAACGUUGGUGAGAGUGGAAAGCUCAUCAAGUGACGGUAACUACCCAGAAAGGGACGGCUAACUACGUG
rnacentral:rRNA from 1 species